AACGCUGGCGGCGCGCCUAACACAUGCAAGUCGAACGAGAAAGGGGAGCAAUCCCUGAGUACAGUGGCGUACGGGUGAGUAACACGUGGAUGAUCUACCCCUUAGUGUGGAAUAACUCUGGGAAACCGGAGCUAAUACCGCAUAAGCUCGAGAGAGGAAAGCAGCAAUGCGCUGAGGGAGGAGUCCGCGGCCGAUUAGCUAGUUGGCAGGGUAAAAGCCUACCAAGGCAGAGAUCGGUAGCCGGCCUGAGAGGGCACACGGCCACACUGGCACUGAAACACGGGCCAGACUCCUACGGGAGGCAGCAGUGGGGAAUCUUGCACAAUGGGGGAAACCCUGAUGCAGCGACGCCGCGUGAGCGAUGAAGCCCUUCGGGGUGUAAAGCUCUUUCGGCAGGGAAGAUAAUGACGGUACCUGCAGAAGCAGCUGCG
rnacentral:rRNA from 1 species